UCCAUUGCAGAUGACAGUUCGUUGUAAACAAUCCGAGAAAAGUUUUUCGAGCAAAAUAAAUAUUUAACAAAUUACCUACCUAUAUCCAAUUUAAGCAAGUUAAUUUGUUAAAAAUGGUCUACACAAUAGUGGUUCUGAGAUACAAGUGUAUUAUGCAGCGAACGAGAUGAUGAACGACCUCAUCGUGACCUAGCUCCACCAAAGGUGGUUCCGGCGCGCCGGGAUGUAUAGGAACUGCAAAAUGCGAAAGCUUUGAAUUCAUUUUUAGACCAGGACCUCGACCAGGUCAGUCCACCGGGUGGAGUCCGACAAGAAUUGUGCAAGUCAGUGCCGCUAAAAAGAAAAAUAAUCAUUGGCACGACACGAGUUAGCUGUACUGAGAUCAGCAAGUUUCAGUUCCUGGCAAUCGCUGGCAUUAAAUUAAAAUUUCGCUCGCUCCGUCGGGUGAAUUCAAGAAGUUGCCCUUGGACUGGCUCUCGAAGAGGUUGAAUUUCUAUUAUAAAAUCAACACGCAGCCGUCCUUUGAUGAGCUGUCCUACCUGCCGCGUCAGGUCGAAAGUCAGAAGGAGAAGCAGUUGUCGUUUUGAAAGUAUUCGCUUAUAGUUAUUUAAGGAUGUGCUAGUUAGAAAGAUGAGCCGGUGCCACAAGUGGGGCGCUGUUUGCCAAACUCGAUAUGGAACUAUGCGACCAAAGACAAGUUUGUCAUCGUGGUGAAUUGUGCACACCCGGCAAAGAAUCUGUUUGUGAAGAUGCUCCGAUAUUCAUUACUGUGCUCGACCAUGCUCGUCGAAGUAGUUCUGAAAAUGUUCACAGUUGAGGCUCGCAGAAGAAACUGAGCAAGUUUGUAAGCCCAGCAAGCGGGAACCUAUAGGCCGCCAGCAUGUUCAUCAAAGAUUCAUUGAAUAUGAUCGAAUCCCAAGCCAAUCACCUCGAAGAAACGUUCCGCAAAGAUUGUGAGCAGCAAAGAAACCGAAUUGUAAAGCUGAUCCAAAUGCCAUUUUGAAUCGUGUUUAGAGUUAUGGAGAAAUGACCUUGAUAUGGGACAGUUUCCAAAUUUAUGGCGAAUAUGUGAGGUCUAUUUUACUGGCUAGUAAACCGGAUAAAUUUAACCGAAUCAUUCUUCGAUUGAGAACUUAUAUAAGUGAUUAUAUUGUGUUUAUGUAUAUAUUAGUCGACCCGGCAAACGUUGUCCUGGUAGGCGAAAAUGCGCGUUGUGAACUGCCCAUGCAAAAUUUCCAUACGAUUCGUAAUUUUAGUUUUUCACGUUUACUCAACCUUCCUCGUAAUUUUUGCAUGAGGAAAUAUUAUAUAAACCAGUCGGGAACGAUAACGAACAUAUUUGCAGAAGGAAUGAAGAAAAUCCAUCCAGCCGUUUUCGAGUUAUUCUGAUACGAACACAUUUUUAUUAAAAGAAUAAGAUAGAUAUGUUUGAAUUUGCCCCGGCUGGAAGACUGCGAGCUCGUUUAGUUGGAAACGUGGCAGGUUCACCGACAUAGUUUCGAAACCAAUCUUUUGCUGAAUUUUAUGAUUAGGCGUAUGUGGUGAAAUAUUGUCAUGAGAAAGGGGAACCAACAUUAAAUAUGUCAUUAAUGAUAAUUAUAUUCACAAUAUUAUUAUGAUUGAUAAAUUGACAAUAAUGUAAAAGUGUGAUAUGACUAAAACGUAGGUAUUUCGUUUUCUCGAAUUUGGACUUUUAUUAGAAUUACAUGUUUACAUAAUUUGAGGUUUACAGAUGAAAUUAUUUGUUUUAUUGAAAUUCUCAAAAGCUUUUUUAAAUUCAUCGUAACAGUGAUUGACAGGAUAAAUAUAAAAUCUUGUCAACAGUAUAAGAGACAAGAGAAUCUCCUAACCCUGUCGAGGAAGUCAUCACGUCAUCAGAUUUAUUUUAAUCAUACGUUCUUGCAAUGGAAUUCGUCGUCACUCCAAAUAGCGCCCCGAAAAAAAAAGUUUCAUCCAAAAGCAGAUUUGGUCAGCUCGAAGAGCAGAUUUGAAUAGUAGUUAUCGAUGAUGGAUUUGGUCGCAGUCGGACGCCAUUCUUAUAGCACAGGUUUUACUCGUUUGUUGCGUUCUCGAUCAGUAGUAUCAUAUUUUUUUCGAAUAGGUAGUUGAUUUUUUACUGAU